AACCCAUGAUGAGGGCACCUUCUCAAUAAAUCUUUGAAUCUCUCCCAUGCUUCAUAUAAUGUCUCUAAAUUGAUCUGGGCAAAGGAGUAAAUGUCAUUCCUCAACUU
rfam:Gossypium arboreum cultivar AKA8401 contig_2706_9, whole genome shotgun sequence.